rnacentral:rRNA from 1 species
CCUACGGGAGGCAGCAGUGAGGAAUAUUGGACAAUGGGCGCAAGCCUGAUCCAGCCAUGCCGCGUGCAGGAUGACGGUCCUAUGGAUUGUAAACUGCUUUUGCACAGGAAGAAACCCUCCCACGUGUGGGAGAUUGACGGUACUGUGAGAAUAAGGAUCGGCUAACUCCGUGCCAGCAGCCGCGGUAAUACGGAGGAUCCAAGCGUUAUCCGGAAUCAUUGGGUUUAAAGGGUCCGUAGGCGGUUUAGUAAGUCAGUGGUGAAAGCCCAUCGCUCAACGGUGGAACGGCCAUUGAUACUGCUAGACUUGAAUUAUAAGGAAGUAACUAGAAUAUGUAGUGUAGCGGUGAAAUGCUUAGAUAUUACAUGGAAUACCAAUUGCGAAGGCAGGUUACUACUUAUGGAUUGACGCUGAUGGACGAAAGCGUGGGUAGCGAACAGGAUUAGAUACCCUGGUAGUCCACGCCGUAAACGAUGGAUACUAGCUGUUGGGAGUAAUCUCAGUGGCUAAGCGAAAGUGAUAAGUAUCCCACCUGGGGAGUACGUUCGCAAGAAUGAAACUCAAAGGAAUUGACGGCUGAGACGAGACGACGGACGACGACGAGGGAGGAGG